rnacentral:lncRNA from 1 species
AGGUAACGUUCACGGUAGAAUUUCCUACGUACCCAAUUCGUUCACCAUCUCCUAAGAUAUCCAGUAAAACAACUGUUUCAUUAAUUCACUUAACCAAACAAUUUCUCGUUUACAUUUAAUUUUUAGUUUUAUAAUUUAACUGUAAAUUACGCAAAAUAAAAAAUACAUGCAUCAAGAAAACACAACUGAAUCAUCUUACAAAUUCCAGUGUAUUAUCGUAUAUUUAAAAUUGUAAAAUCAAAAAAUCAGUUA